rnacentral:rRNA from 1 species
UACGUAGGGUGCGAGCGUUGUCCGGAAUUAUUGGGCGUAAAGAGCUCGUAGGCGGUCUGUUGCGUCGGCUGUGAAAACCCGAGGCUCAACCUCGGGCCUGCAGCCGAUACGGGCAGACUAGAGUUCGGCAGGGGAGACUGGAAUUCCCGGUGUAGCGGUGGAAUGCGUAGAGAUCGGGAAGAACAUCGGUGGCGAAGGCGGCCUGCUGGGCUCUUGCUGACACUGAUGCGCGACAGCGUGGGGAGCAAACAGG